rnacentral:lncRNA from 1 species
UCUGGCUCUUGAAAGUUCUCUUGACUGGGUGCGGUGGCUCAAGCCUGUAAUCCCAGCACUUUGGGAGGCCGAGGUGGGUGGAUCACGAGGUCAAGAGAUCGAGACCAUCCUGGUCAACGAGCAUGGAAGAAGGAACUAACAAAUGAUGUCCUUGUAGAAGAGUAAUGUCUCCUGACAAUGUUCUCUUUAGUCCAUGAUGUGGGAUAAGAGGAGGUUUUACUGAUUAUGAGGCAACAGACAUAAGGAGGAAAAACAUUUUCAAAGAUAAGAAUACCAUGAUAAUAGAAGUCUUGAUUUGUGAUCUUGGGAAAAGCUGUUCACAUGAAGAAUGUCAUCUUCUUCUGGAGAGAAACUUUCUCAACAAACAAACUGAAAAAAAAUCAAUCACCAUUCCACAGCAUGCUCUACAAGUUUUAGGGUUCCUACGAGGCUACGGAAUUGAGUGUGAUAACUGAUCUAAAAGGCAAGAUUAAUAAACUGAGGCAAACAGAAACUAAGUAACUUGGAAAAUAAAUGAGUAAAGAAAUAAAAUGCAUGCGACCUGUUAUGGAUUAUAAGAAUAUGUCUCAUGUUUUACAUACAGAGAAAUAAAUCUGAGAUUUCAGUCAGUACUUCACAGACUUAUACUAAUAUACCAGUCAUAAUGAGAGGAUAGGUAGUAAAUUAUUGCAGAGAAAAAUAAAAUGGAUUAAGGGAGAUUGGGACACUUCUAUGUGUAGGUGUG